rnacentral:rRNA from 2 species
AAGUCGUAACAAGGUUUCCGUAGGUGAACCUGCGGAAGGAUCAUUACAGUAGUCAUCCGGGUUGCCGCAAGGCCUCCCGGGUAACCUACCACCCUUUGUUUAUUACACUUUGUUGCUUUGGCAGGCCUGCCCUCGGGCUGCUGGCUCCGGCCGGCGAGCGCCUGCCAGAGGACCUAAACUCUGUUUGUCUAUAUUGUCUGAGUACUAUAUAAUAGUUAAAACUUUCAACAACGGAUCUCUUGGUUCUGGCAUCGAUGAAGAACGCAGCGAAAUGCGAUAAGUAAUGUGAAUUGCAGAAUUCAGUGAAUCAUCGAAUCUUUGAACGCACAUUGCGCCCCCUGGUAUUCCGGGGGGCAUGCCUGUCCGAGCGUCAUUACAACCCUCAAGCUCAGCUUGGUGUUGGGCCCCGCCGCCCCGGCGGGCCCUAAAGUCAGUGGCGGUGCCGUCCGGCUCCGAGCGUAGUAAUUCUUCUCGCUCUGGAGGUCCGGUCGUGUGCUCGCCAGCAACCCCCAAUUUUUUUCAGGUUGACCUCGGAUCAGGUAGGGAUACCCGCUGAACUUAA